rnacentral:ncRNA from 1 species
AUAGCAUCAAAAGCGCCUGAACUAUUCACAGAGACGACUUAGCAAUGAAUAGUUGACGAGGAGGAGGAUUAUCGAUUUUUUCGGCGGAUACCUCCCGAUUGCACAUCUCAAUCGUUAUACUUUAUUCAUAAAACAAUGAGGCAACUUGUUGGCCAAUUGAAUAAGGCAAGAUGACC